rnacentral:rRNA from 1 species
GCGGCAAACGGGUGAGUAAUAUCUGGGAAUCUACCCAAAAGAGGGGGAUAACUACUAGAAAUGGUAGCUAAUACCGCAUAAAGUUGAAAAACCAAAGUGGGGGACUGUAAAAAGCCUCAUGCUUUUGGAUGAGCCCAGACGAGAUUAGCUUGUUGGUAAGGUAAAAGCUUACCAAGGCGACGAUCUCUAGCUGGUCUGAGAGGAUAACCAGCCACACUGGAACUGAGACACGGUCCAGACUCCUACGGGAGGCAGCAGUGGGGAAUAUUGCACAAUGGGCGAAAGCCUGAUGCAGCUAUGCCGCGUGUAUGAAGAAGGCCCUAGGGUUGUAAAGUACUUUCAGCGGGGAGGAAAAAAAUAAAACUAAUAAUUUUAU